rnacentral:lncRNA from 1 species
UCUAGUGGACAUAGAGAAGAAAAAAAAAUGGAGUUGGGCAGGCCACAUAACACUUAGGGCUGAUAACCAGUGGUCUAGUGGAGUUACAAAAUGGGUGCGAAGGGAAGGGAAGCACAGUUGAGG